rnacentral:rRNA from 1 species
UACGUAGGGUCCGAGCGUUGUCCGGAAUUAUUGGGCGUAAAGGGCUCGUAGGCGGUCUGUCGCGUCGGGAGUGAAAACUUACAGCUUAACUGUGAGCGUGCUUCCGAUACGGGCAGACUUGAGGUAUUCAGGGGAGAACGGAAUUCCUGGUGUAGCGGUGAAAUGCGCAGAUAUCAGGAGGAACACCGGUGGCGAAGGCGGCUUCCUGGACCGACACUGACGCUGAGGCGCGAAAGCUAGGGGAGCAAACGGG